UGAACAAGUGACCUUUAUAUUCAAACUUUGACUAUUUUUUUCCUCAAAAAUCACACACAAACAUACACUAGAAUGUGUUGAACGAGAGAGAACGCAGAAGAGGAAAAGGGGAAGAAAAGAAAAAGAAAGGAAGGAAAAAAGGAAAAAGAAAGAAGAAAUCUUGUACCGACCACUUCAAUCUUCUUUAUUUAAUUCUUCAAUAGGAGGGGAUUUGGAUGUGGAAACAGCAUACCUGCCCCGUUAGUCCAACCUAUAUCUGUGAGUGGAGAAGCUAUAUUUUCAAAAAGAAGAUUUUCUUUUUAUUUUAAAGAAGUAUGUUAAUUACAUGAAAUGCUUUAUUUUCGAGAAUUAGUAAAUGAGUAUGAUUGUUUUGAAAUUAUCAUAAAAUAAUUGAUGUGAUUAUCUUACUCUAGUGCACUGAGGGGCUACAACCGUGUACUAGAGUCAUGUAUUUUAACUUUUAUCCACCGAGGGGCUACGACCGUGGGUAAAGGUAUCUAAUAUACACUGAGGGGGCUAAGGUCGUGGGUGAAGGUAUCCAUUAUACACUGAGGGGUUACAACCGUGUAUAAGGAUGAUUAUGUUGUUUCCAUCUUGUAUACUGAGGGGAUACAGCCGUGUACAAAGUAUUGAUCAAACGAUUUAUGUACAUAUGAUUUAUAGCUUGCAGAUCAUUAGUAGAUGUUUACAUGGGAUAUAUUUUGAUGUGAAUUUUAAUUAUAUAGUGGAUUAUUGGUCUUCAGCUUACA